AUUGAACGCUGGCGGCAGGCCUAACACAUGCAAGUCGAGCGAGCGGCGGACGGGUGCGUACAGUAUGGGGACUGCCCGCUAGAGGAGGGUAACUACUGGAAACGGUAGCUAAUACCGCAUAAUAUCGGAUAUACGAUAUGGGAUUAGCUGGUAGGUGAGGUAAUGGCGCACUUGGGAGACGAUCCCUAGCUGGUCUGAGAGGAUGAGCAGCCACACUGGGACUGAGACACGGCCCAGACUCCUACGGAGGCAGCAGUGGGGAAUAUUGCACAAUGGUCGCAAGCCUGAUGAAUCCAUGCCGCGUGUAUGAAGAAGGCCCUAGGUUUGUAAAGUACUUUCAGUCGGGAGGCGUUACCGACAUAAGAAGCACCGGCUAACUCCGUGCCAGCAGCCGCGGUAAUUC
rnacentral:rRNA from 1 species